UUUUUAUGAGAGUUUGAUCCUGGCUCAGGAUGAACGCUGGCGGCGUGCUUAACACAUGCAAGUCGAACGAAGCAUUUAGAACAGAUUAUUUCGGUAUGAAGUUCUUUAUGACUGAGUGGCGGACGGGUGAGUAACGCGUGGGUAACCUGCCUUGUACUGGGGGAUAGCAGCUGGAAACGGCUGGUAAUACCGCAUAAGCGCACAA
rnacentral:rRNA from 1 species